UUGCUGCCAAGAAACCCUCUGUGGCGCAGAGCUUUACCUUCAGCUGCAAUCGCUUGCUGGGCAUAUGGACCUUAUUUCUGCAAAUGGGAGUGGAAGAGAGUCAAUUUGCAAAUCCAAUUGGAAUUUUCUUCCUCCUGCCGCUCCAAUUUACUACGCAGACUUCAUUCAUAGUUAAAGGAGCCUGGAUUUCUGCCUCUUUUUUCUCUAAUUAACUUGUUCUUUCGAUUUAGGACAUCCAAAUGGAAGAAAUAUGAUGAGGAGAGAAGAAACCAUUUAAACCAUUGUCACUGACCAGGAGUUAUGUACUUUUCUCUACUUUGAGACCACCAGAGAAAAGAAAACGGCAGGGAGCGAAGAAUUGUCCAACAUCUUUAAAGAUGUGCUAAAAAGCUUGAUCCUAAAAGAAGAAAGAUCAAAUCCUCCUCCCUCAGACAAGAAUGAUUUUCUGCAAGGGGGGAAGUUUUAUGGAACUUAAAGGGACUCAGCUACAGCUACUGACCGCAGAGAAAUCAAUUGACACCAGCCCACAUACGACAGAAUGACUCUGGCUACCCAGAGACAGUUGUGUUAAUGCACAAAUACCAGAAGUGUUGUGAAUGCUUGCUUAAUUAAAGAUUAUUAAAAAUUAAAGUUGACUUCUCUCUUGUUCAGAGAUUCUAUUCAAUACUAUUCUGUUUGUAUAGGCUUUAGCAUUUAAGCCACCCCUGCUUUAUUA